GUCGUUUUUUUCUCAUCAGCCGGUCCCCGAACGCGUUUCGAGUUGUGAGCGGGCGCAAUCUUUUACGAUCGGACAAAUAUAUUAUGCACCGGACGCGUCCGAUACGUUAAUAUUCUUUUCGGACGCGCGCCUCCGUUUCUGCGUACACGGUUCACGUUUUGUGUUCCUUUACGAACGAUUUUACAUUCGUGCGGUACAAAAUUGCAUUAUAAUAAUUCAACACGAACGCUGCCCACACUACUUACUCGGAGAUUACGAAAGAAAAAAAAGAAUUUGACGUGCACUUAAUAAUUUUAGGGGGCGGGAAUGCGACGACGGUGACGCUCUGCUUGCGGUGGCAGCAGGGUUACGGCGGAGAGAGGAUAAUACGUCGACCGCGGUGCAGACGAUGUGGAGCGGAGGACACCCGCUGCCAUAUGGGUUGCUGUCGACAAAUAUUUGCCGACACUCAAAAAAGAUAAAUAUAAUAUGGCAAGACGGUUUGUAACACGAGGAAAGCACUUGAGUAUUAUUGUUCAUCCCAAC